GUUUUGAUCCUGGCUCAGAACGAACGCUGGCGGCAGGCCUAAAACAUGCAAGUCGAACGAACCUUCGGGUUAGUGGCGCACGGGUGAGUAACGCGUGGGAAUGUGCCUCUGGGUGCGGAACAACGUCGGGAAACUGACGCUAAUACCGCAUAAUGUCUACGGACCAAAGAUUUAUCGCCCAGAGAUCAGCCCGCGUCUGAUUAGCUAGUUGGUGAGGUAACGGCUCACCAAGGCUACGAUCAGUAGCUGGUCUGAGAGGAUGAUCAGCCACACUGGAACUGAGACACGGUCCAGACUCCUACGGGAGGCAGCAGUUAGGAAUAUUGGACAAUGGGGGAAACCCUGAUCCAGCCAUGCCGCGUGUGUGAAGAAGGCCUUAGGGUUGUAAAGCACUUUCGGCUGUGAAGAUAAUGACAGUAGCAGAAGAAGAAGACUCCGGCUAAAUUACGUG
rnacentral:rRNA from 1 species